AUUGAACGCUGGCGGCAGGCCUAACACAUGCAAGUCGAACGGUAACAGGAAACAGCUUUCUGUUUCGCUGACGAGUGGCGGACGGGUGAGUAAUGUCUGGGAAACUGCCUGAUGUAGGGGGAUAUCUACUGGAAACGGUUGCUAAUACCGCAUAACGUCGCAAGACCAAAGAGGGGGAGCUUCGGGCCUCUUGCCAUCGGAUGUGCCCAGAUGGGAUUAGCUAGUAGGUGGGGUAACGGCUCACCUAGGCGACGAGCCCUAGCUGGUCUGAGAGGAUGAUCAGCCACACUGGAACUGGGACACGGUCCAGACUCCUACGGGAGGCAGCAGUGGGGAAUAUUGGACAAUGGGCGCAAGCCUGAUGCAGCCAUGCCGCGUGUAUGAAGAAGGCCUUCGGGUUGUAAAGUACUUUCAGCGGGGAGGAAGGGAGUAAGGUUAAUACCUUGACUCAUUGACGGUACCCGCAGAAGAAGCACCGGCUAACUCCGUG
rnacentral:rRNA from 1 species